CAUCUCUGAAAUUACCCCCCGAGCCUUGGCCUGACCCCUGACCUCCACCUGACUGAGGUGCCGUAGGAAACCUGCCGAUAAGAGACAGUUUACUGAACAAAAUGAGGUAAUGACGAGGGAGCCUUCUCUGUCUCUGACAUCACAAUCACCUGAUCCUAGAGGAGGACGAGGAAGAAGAAGAUGCUCUCAGUAAGACUAGGUAAGCAGUUUUGGCCCAGAACCGGCCCACAUCUGGCCCGUGUGAAAUCCAUGCCGGCCAGAUCUGGGCCGAAACUGCUUCACUGACAGAUAGAGCCUGCACACUUCAGGAAGUCAACCUAUGAAUGGCCUACAUGUCUUUGCACAUUCGACCGGGAUAAGAGAAGGACCUCCGAUAUUAAAACAUUAAAGGUUUUAAUUCAACUCUGCACUGGCUGUCAUUACCUCAGAGCUGGGAUGUAG